CAUCAUCACAGGGUAAAAACACAAAUACUGUCCAAGUCCUCUGUGAGUGAUGAAGGUCUAAAUGUGUUUGUUUUCACCCAGAAGAGGGCGUUCAUCUCUUUUCUGUAUCCCUCAUAAACACAAUGAGCUCAAGACUCGUCCUGGAAGGUCAAAUCUCGCCACAGGGUGGAGCUCCAGACUUAAAUCACAGUGUUUCAGUUAAAAAAGGGUCACAUUUGAUCAUUUCAUUCCAUCAUGCUGCUCUGUGCACUUGUAAUAUUAUCAGUACUUGCAGGAGUCUCUCUUGGUGAUCUAAUAACGUCUCAUGACUCUGAAAAACGAGCUCAAGAUGGUAACAGUGUUGCUCUCUACUGUAACUACACUGGUGCUGUGUAUAAUCUACUGUGGUAUCGUCAGUAUCAAAGAUCCAGACCAGAACUCCUUCUCUCCAUGAGUGAAUCUGGAGAUCCAGUUAAAGCCGAUCCAUCAGCGCACUGGUUAUCAGCUAAAGUUGACAAACACAGAAAGCUCAUGGAACUGGAAAUCAGCCCUGCUAAAGUAUCAGACUCUGCACUGUAUUACUGUGCUCUGGAGCCCACAGUGACAGGAAAACCUUUUCUUCUGCACAAAAUCUUUCUGUAUAUGAUAAAAACACUCGCACCUUCAGGAGGUGGUGCAAUAUGA